AACGUAGGAGGCAAGCGUUAUCCGGAUUUACUGGGCGUAAAGCGUGUGCAGGUGGUUUGGUAAGUUGGAUGUGAAAGCUCCUGGCUCAACUGGGAGAGGUCGUUCAAAACUACCAGACUUGAGAGCAGUAGAGGGAGGUGGAAUUCCCGGUGUAGUGGUGAAAUGCGUAGAUAUCGGGAGGAACACCAGUGGCGAAAGCGGCCUCCUGGACUGUUUCUGACACUCAGACACGAAAGCUAGGGUAGCAAACGGG
rnacentral:rRNA from 1 species